GCCGUUGCCAUGGCGACCGCGGGGCCGCCGCUCCAGGAGAGACCCGGGAGAGCUCCGGGAAUAAUUAAUUCGGGAAUAAUUCGGGAAUAAUUGGGGAUUAAUGCGGAAAUUAAUGAGGGAAUUAAUGCGGGAAUCGCGGCCUCACCGCCCCUCCCGCAGCCCCGCUCUGCGCCCCGGUCCUGGGCAGUGCGAGGCGGGGACAGGCCCGGCCUCCGCGGGGCUGCGAUUUGAGGAUCUGGGGAUGAGGCUGCAGUUGUUGCUCCUUUCCCAGCUUUGGCAGGAGCUCAGGAUGGGAUGCUGCUGCCAGGGCCGUGUUUGCACAGGGAUCUCUUUCAUUGCUCAGCCCUUGCCCCGCUCUGGGGCCGCUGCAGCUCCUUUGUGCAGAUAAAAGAGUUCAGUGAGGAACUCCUCGUGCUGCUGCUCUGCCAGCCUGGAGGGCACCUCCAACGAGAUUAAUGAUUUCUGCCUUCAGAGAAGAAAACUUUGCAUAAAUGAGAUUACGCUUUCUGCUGAAACCUGCCAACUCUUAUUCAUUUGCAGUAAAUAUUAUCUUUAAUUAAAAGUUUUAAGG